UACGGGGGGGGCAAGCGUUGUUCGGAAUCACUGGGCGUAAAGGGUGCGUAGGCGGGUCUUUAAGUCAGGGGGGAAAUCCUGGAGCUCAACUCCAGAACUGCCUUUGAUACUGAGGAUCUUGAGUUCGGGAGAGGUGAGUGGAACUGCGAGUGUAGAGGUGAAAUUCGUAGAUAUUCGCAAGAACACCAGUGGCGAAGGCGGCUCACUGGCCCGAUACUGACGCUGAGGCACGAAAGCGUGGGGAGCAAACAGG
rnacentral:rRNA from 1 species